GAAAUGCGAUAAGUAAUGUGAAUUGCAGAAUUCAGUGAAUCAUCGAAUCUUUGAACGCACCUUGCGCUCCUUGGUAUUCCGAGGAGCAUGCCUGUUUGAGUGUCAUUUAAUUCUCAACCCCUCCAGUUUUCUAUGACUGGUUUGGUGGCUUGGAUGUGGGGGAUUAUAUAUGCGGGCCUCUUCAGAGGUCGGCUCCCCUGAAAUGCAUUAGCGGAACCGUUUGCGGUAACUGUCACUGGUGUGAUAACUAUCUACGCCAAAAGACGACUGCUCUCUGGUACUUCUGCUUCAAAUUGUCCAUCUUGGACAACUAUAUUUGAAUGCUUGACCUCAAAUCAGGUAGGACUACCCGCUGAACUUAA
rnacentral:misc_RNA from 1 species